rnacentral:rRNA from 2 species
CGCGACCCCAGGUCAGGCGGGAUUACCCGCUGAGUUUAA